AGAUUGAACGCUGGCGGCGUGCCUAACACAUGCAAGUCGAGCGGUAACAGGUGUAGCAAUACAUGCUGACGAGCGGCGAACGGGUGAGUAAUGCUUUGGAAUCUUCCCCAGUAGUGGGGGAAUAACCAGUCGAAAGAUUGGCUAAUACCGCAUACGUCUGUAAAGGGAAAGCGGGGGCUCGUAAGACCUCGCGCUAUUGGAUGAGCCAAAGUCGGAUUAGCUAGUUGGUGGGGUAAUGGCCUACCAAGGCGACAAUCCGUAGCUGGUCUGAGAGGACGACCAGCCACACCGGAACUGAGACACGGUCCGGACUCCUACGGGAGGCAGCAGUGGGGAAUUUUGCGCAAUGGGGGAAACCCUGACGCAGCAACGCCGCGUGGAGGAUGAAAUCCCUUGGGAUGUAAACUCCUUUCGAUAAGGAAGAUAAUGACGGUACCUAUAGAAGAAGCCCGGCUAACUUCGUGCCAGCAGCCGC
rnacentral:rRNA from 1 species